GCAUCAGUAUUUCCCUCAAGAAUAGCACACGUUAAAAGCUUUCAUAAAGAGAAAACAAAAAUAAGGAGUUGAAAAACAUAAAAGUAUAAAUUAAUAGCCACAAAAGGGAGAAGUUAAAGAGAGACUAUGAAAACAUAUUUGUCUUGCAGAAAGAUACAAUCUGAGAAGCAACCCUGCAGGACUUGGCUGAAAGUCAACGGGUGGCUGAUCAAAUGAAGCGAUAUGAGCCGUGUAAUUUGUCACAUCAAGCAUCUGCGACAAACUCACGCACAAUCCGAGGAAUAGAUGACCAACAUACAUACUUAAAGAAAGUGAACUUCCAACACAACUUGGUCACAACAAGAUUCUGCAUAUGAGAAAACCAAGAACCGGAAAGACAAGGGAUCCGUCAGGAACACCACAUGUUGCAACAGAACAAUGACACCUGAGAAAAGUAGAAAUAAAUUGAAGGGAGGAAGGAACAAGGAGGAGACAGUGAGAGGACUGGGGAGGCUCCCUGUACAAAAGGUGACAAAAGAGCUGAGGACUGACAACUGGCAAAAGUAUGUUCUUUGUUUUGGCUUACUUCCCAUUUCUUGACUAUAUGUUGCACUUGGGUAUUUAUAUAGUUAAGAAAUUAAUUUUUUG